UGAAGGAGUGGAGCCUGGCUGCACCUCUCUUAGACCUCAUUUAAGGGCUGACUGCCACUGGAGGUGAACUCAUGUUGGUGGUCUCUGUCUUGUGGAGUUUCCUUUGUGAACCUACAUCUUCAGAGACAGGGCUGCCAAAAGUCUAGCCUACAUCCAUCCUGGUCGUGGAAGGAGACAACUGAUGGUUGCCUUUUGCAGGUCCCAGAUGAAGAGGGUCACAGCAUUUCACGUAAUUGCUUCACAGAUUUGCAACCACUUGAACAGAAGAGGCAGAUGUAGCCACUGAGGUAAAUCUCACUGAAAUGCCACUGCAGUCCUCUGCCUGCACAGAAGCCUAUUUAGCACCGUAUAUGGAGUUCGUGAAAAGCUUUGUAUGGGAACCCCUCAGGUUUUGCUUGAUGAUGAAAGAGGAUGAGGAAGAAGGAAGGAUUCUAAGGCAGAUGUUUGAGCUGCAGAAUCAUACCUUUGCUGGCAAUGGACCUCACUCUCCUCACCAAGGCUUGGCCAUCCCACUUGCUCAGAAUUUUUCCCUGUGUUAGCCCGGAUACUGGAGACUGACUUGGAGAGGAGAGCCCAUUGCUUGGGAGCUGCAAUGUUGGAACUUAACAUCAAUUUUUCUACUCGCUUUGAUGAAAUCUAAGUUGGAAGACCGCAGAGAAUUAAGCGUUCUACAGGAAUAUUUGCAAUUGUACAAGAUCGUAGAAUCAAGAAAGGAAUUGGACUGGAAGAGAGCUUAAAGAUCACCUAGUUCCAACCCUCUUGCAGAGAUAGGGCAUGAGCAGUGUCUCUGAGAGAUUUAGAAACACUGUUUUUUGCAAAGUGACCAAGAAAAAGGUUUUGGGAAAAUUAUACGUGCUGGAAUGGCCUCCCAGAAUCAAAUGGCUUCAGAAAUGUCUAAGAAAAAAAAUCCACUGGGUCUUCAAGAAAGAAACAAAAGUAUUUACAGUUCUAACAGAAAGCACUGGGACAUGUUGCACCUUUAAGAAAAAUAAUAACUUAGAAGACAUCUGCAAUGGGAUUGGUAAUCAUGUAUUUGUCAGUGACAAACCUAAAAGGGAUUAGACCAUCUUCCAGGGUGAGCUGAACUCUCUGCACUACUGCCUUGUCACUGAAAUGAGCUACAUGCCUGUGCUUAAACAUCCGUUGUUUUUUCUCCCCUUUGUGCAAACCUAAAGGCUCUGUCACAGAAUAAACACUGACAGUGAUCAAAGAAAUGCUCCCCAAAAGGACAGGAAAGCACUAGGGUCAAAUAGAUAAACUUGUAUGGACCAGAGCUGAACUUUAUAAAUGACAGCAUCACAAGAAAAGCAAUUUGUUUUACAUUUUUGUGUUUCAGUUUUCUGAUCUGUAAAAUUGAAGGCAGUGAUACUUACCUCCGCAUUGCAGGUCCAGGGCUCCUGGAUGACAGCUGCUUUGGCAGUAGCCAGAUGAGCAAGAAAAGGGUACCAGAAGUGAAGCUGUGUACAUCUGUUGCAUCUGUAAUGGUAAAAGGAACUCUUGGUCACAUCCCAGCCAUAGAAAUAUCUCAGUGUUUCCAGUGCAUGAGAUAGAUCGAAUAACAAAUAGCACAGUGAUAUUUUUAUGCCUACACUACAUAAUCAUUUAGCCACUUCUUCAGUUGCACAACAGAGCUUUGCACUCCUUUGGAGUUUCAUUCUGCAGAGUGAAGAACAAGAGCAGUAGCUUUCAAGUAUCUGAUGUGCACUGCAAUGUGGCAGCAGUGGAUUAUAGACAAUCAGAAGCUGAUUUUGAAACAGCUCUAGCACCCACAACGGGCUAAAGCUGCACAGGGAGCUCAGCAAUUGUAUACCAAGUAGGUUUUAUUUUGCCUCCCAAGCAACUUUGUUACACACGGAAUUCCACAUAAUCAUGGCUUAAAGCAUUCAGCUUUGCUAGCUUAUAUAGCACCUUGCUGCAAUGAAGAGAUAUGGAAGCUACAAAUGAGGCCUAGCAGGGAGCAUUUCAUACACAGACUUGAGGACACAUUAAUGAAGGUGACUUCAAUUUAUUCUUUUGGAAAAAAAAAGACAACUAAAUCAGGAGAAAACAGAAGAAUCUGUACAUCUCAAUUGUUCUGACAAAUUCUUAAUGAUAAUUAAAAAUACUUUAAGCUGAAACAACUCCUCCUCCUCUCCUGCUCUUUCAAGCUCUCUAAGGCUGCAUUUAGAAAACGUUUAAGUCAAACUGACCAGUUGGUAAAUGGGGCAUUCUGAAAUUUAUAAGGCUGAACCUCAGCUGAACUUAUCCAAGGCAUUGGUUACUGGCUUUGAAUUCAUUCUCACAAAGUUGCUCACAGCAGCAACACGUUUGGAAAUGCAGAGAUGACUUAAGAAAAGGGUUAUAAAAGACUUUACUAAUGAAUAUGUGUCACAGCUGCUUUGGCUCUUGUCCCCACAGCAUAUUUCCAACAAAAUCAAAUGUAGAUUCCUAAGGGCAGAAGUUGGAAGUCACCCUGCCUCAAAGAGCUUGAACCUCUCUUAAGUAGGACAGAACUCUGCUGAGACUUCACGGAAGUAGCGCCUGGAAAUGACUGUGGGCAACUAUUUCAAGGAACCUUUAGAGAUUUACUUGUAUAGUUAUUGUCUCUUAAGAGAGAGCAAAUUAAUAGGUACAGUUGCUUUAUUCAUGAACCUCAGAAUUAAUUUUAAUCCAGCAUUCCAAUAAGUACUCAAGGCAUUUUACUUUAUCUUUUUCAGGUCUUGUCCCUUAGACAAAAAGAAUCUAUUUUUAACUUGUACCACUUCAAUCAAGUUACAACCUGAAAUUAAUAAUACAACUCAACCUGCUAACUGGUGGACGUAAUAAUUAAGAGGAUACAGUAAAUGCCAGCAGCACCUUCUGUAAAACAAAUACACAACAAGCAAAGACAAGGCCAGCCAAUAAAUAAAGGUGACAUGAAAUCAACUUUAUUGGAAAGGAAAAGUGUUGUAAGUAUUGCAGUGCUUUGUAAGACUUAAAGUGAUGUUCAUAGUAAAAGAUAAAGUUAAUUUUCUGGAAAUAAAUUUGUGAAUGUGAGUACCAUUUUGUGAAAAACCAAGUUUUGACCCUUAGAAAAGCUGUAAAAAUGUUUUUGAAAGCAGCCCUUCAUUGUGAUUGUCACUGUUCUUACACAUUACAGCUGAGAGAACUG